GCUGACAUGGCUCAGUGGUUAGAGCAUUGGCCCUCAGACCAAGGGGUCACAGGUUCGAUUCCUGGUCAAGAGCA
rfam:Myotis brandtii contig257377, whole genome shotgun sequence.